UCUUAUAGAUGAGCAAACAAAGCAGUUUCUUGAGAUGGAAUCUAUUUCUGGUGUAGAUGUUGUAGA
rnacentral:pre_miRNA from 1 species